rnacentral:rRNA from 1 species
UACGUAGGCAGCAAGCGUUGUUCGGAAUUACUGGGCGUAAAGAGUGUGUAGGCGGUGCUCUAAGUCUGUUGUGAAGUCUCCCGGCUUAACUGGGAGGGUGCGGCGGAGACUGGAGUGCUAGAGUGUGGGAGAGGUAAGCGGAAUUCCUGGUGUAGCGGUGAAAUGCGUAGAUAUCAGGAGGAACACCUGUGGUGUAGACAGCUUACUGGACCACGACUGACGCUGAGACACGAAAGCGUGGGUAGCAAACAGG